AGGCGGAUGUCCGGGCCGGCUGGGCCGGGGCCGCGGACGAGAUGGCGGAAGGUGGAGGCUGCCGUGAGCGACCGGAUGCGGAGACCCAGAAAUCGGAGCUCGGGGCCUUGAUGAGGACCACGCUCCAACGAGGGGCGCAGUGGUAUCUUAUUGACAGCCGGUGGUUCAAGCAGUGGAAGAAGUAUGUGGGCUUCGACAGCUGGGAUAUGUACAAUGUGGGUGAACACAAUCUGUUUCCUGGCCCAAUAGAUAACUCUGGACUCUUUUCAGAUCCGGAGAGUCAGACCUUGAAAGAACAUUUAAUUGAUGAAUUGGAUUAUGUAUUGGUCCCAACCGAGGCCUGGAAUAAAUUACUCAACUGGUAUGGCUGUGUAGAAGGCCAGCAGCCCAUUGUCAGAAAAGUUGUGGAGCACGGCCUGUUUGUCAAACACUGCAAAGUGGAGGUAUAUUUGCUGGAACUGAAGCUCUGUGAGAACAGUGACCCCACCAAUGUGCUGAGUUGCCAUUUCAGCAAGGCAGACACCAUUGCAACCAUCGAGAAGGAGAUGCGGAAGCUGUUCAACAUCCCUGCUGAGCGUGAAACACGGCUGUGGAACAAAUACAUGAGCAACACUUAUGAGCAGCUGAGCAAGCUAGACAACACUGUCCAGGAUGCGGGGCUGUACCAGGGUCAGGUGCUAGUAAUUGAGCCCCAAAAUGAAGAUGGCACAUGGCCGAGGCAGACCUUGCAGUCAAAAUCAAGCACUGCACCUAGCAGAAAUUUUCCUACCUCUCCAACAUCAUCAGCAAGUCCCUAUUCCUCAGUGUCUGCCUCUUCCAUUGCAAAUGGUGAUAGCACUAACACCUCUGGGAUGCACAGUUCCGGUGUCAGCAGGGGUGGAUCUGCCUUCUCUGCUUCGUAUAAUUGUCAGGAGUCCCCAUCGUCUCACAUACAGCCUGGGCUCUGCGGACUUGGAAACCUGGGGAACACUUGCUUCAUGAACUCUGCUUUACAGUGCUUGAGCAACACCGCACCACUGACUGACUACUUUCUCAAAGAUGAGUAUGAGGCUGAGAUCAACAGAGACAAUCCUCUGGGAAUGAAAGGGGAAAUUGCAGAAGCCUAUGCAGAGCUCAUUAAACAGAUGUGGUCUGGAAGGGAUGCUCACGUGGCACCUCGCAUGUUCAAAACCCAAGUGGGACGUUUCGCCCCUCAGUUUUCUGGCUACCAGCAACAAGACUCUCAGGAGUUGUUAGCCUUUCUUCUAGAUGGAUUGCAUGAAGAUCUGAACCGUGUAAAGAAGAAGCCCUACCUGGAGCUGAAGGAUGCCAACGGGCGGCCAGAUGCGGUGGUGGCAAAGGAAGCCUGGGAGAAUCACAGGUUGAGGAAUGACUCUGUGAUUGUGGACACAUUCCAUGGCCUCUUCAAAUCUACUUUGGUUUGCCCAGAAUGUGCUAAGGUUUCUGUGACCUUUGACCCAUUUUGCUAUCUAACUCUCCCACUGCCCCUGAAGAAAGAUAGAGUUAUGGAGGUCUUCCUGGUUCCUGCUGACCCUUGCUGCAGACCUACUCAGUACCGCGUGGUUGUGCCGCUGAUGGGGGCUGUGUCUGACCUGUGCGAGGCUCUCUCCAGGCUGUCUGGCAUUGCUGCAGAAAACAUGGUGGUCACAGAUGUAUAUAAUCACCGGUUCCACAAAAUUUUCCAAAUGGAUGAAGGUUUAAACCACAUCAUGCCUCGGGAUGACAUUUUUGUGUACGAGGUCUGCAGCAUCUCCGCUGAUGGCUCUGAGUGUGUCACACUUCCAGUCUACUUCAGGGAAAGGAAGUCCAGGCCGUCGAGCACUUCUUCCGGGGCAGUGCUGUAUGGACAGCCACUGCUGGUUUCUGUUCCCAAGCACAAGCUAACCCUUGAGUCUUUGUACCAGGCUGUUUGUGAGCGUAUCAGCCGCUAUAUAAAACAGCCUUUGCCUGAUGAGUCUGGCAGCUCGCCCUUGGAGCCGGGGGCCUGCAAUGGCUCCAGGGGCAGCUGUGAAGGUGAGCGCUCGCCACGCUGUGGGGCUGUGACUGACCAAAUCCCUCCUGACCUCCCUCUUCUUCCAAAGGAGAAGAUGAAGAAGAAAUGGAGCAUCAGGACGAAGGCAGAGAGCAACUUUCAGACACAGAAGGCAGUGGGGAGGACGAGCUGGGAAAUGACUGCGGGGAGACCACCCAAAAGAAGGUCAAAGGCCAGUCCUGCCCGAAAAGGCUUUUUACCUUCAGCCUCGUGAACUCCUACGGAACAGCUGAUAUAAAUUCCCUUGCAACUGAUGGAAAACUACUUAAACUCAAUUCUCGAUCCACACUGGCCAUCGAUUGGGACAGUGAGACCCGGAGCCUUUAUUAUGAUGAGCAAGAAUCUGAGGCCUAUGAGAAGCACGUGAGCAUGUUGCAGCCUCAGAAGAAGAAGAAGACCGCGGUGGCGCUGAGAGACUGCAUCGAGCUCUUCACCACCAUGGAGACCCUUGGGGAGCAUGACCCCUGGUACUGUCCCAACUGUAAGAAGCAUCAACAGGCCACAAAGAAGUUUGACCUGUGGUCCUUGCCGAAGAUCCUGGUGGUCCACCUCAAACGUUUCUCCUACAAUAGAUACUGGAGGGAUAAGCUCGACACCGUUGUGGAAUUCCCCGUCAGAGCUCUGAACAUGUCCGAGUUUGUGUGUGACCUGUCAGCAAGGCCUUAUGUGUACGACCUCAUUGCCGUAUCUAAUCAUUAUGGAGCCAUGGGGGUUGGCCACUACACCGCAUAUGCGAAGAACAAACUGAACGGGAAAUGGUAUUAUUUUGAUGAUAGCAAUGUGUCCCUGGCCUCCGAGGAUCAGAUAGUGACAAAAGCAGCUUACGUGCUAUUUUACCAACGUCGAGAUGAUGAAUUUUAUAAGACACCUUCACUCAUCAGUUUUUCUGGAUCCUCUGAGGGAGGGACGAGCCCAAGCAGCUCACAGCAGGGCAUGGGGGACGAUGAGGCUUGCAGCAUGGACACCAACUGAUGCUGUCUCCGUGACUCUGCCACCCCACAGCACCAGUGUAAUCCCCCAGGAGAACAGCUUUGACACUCUGGAGACUUCUAGUCUAAAAACCAGAUGAGGAAAUUCCCUUUUAUGAGCAGAAGAAAAAAAAAAAAGACCCUGUUUGCUCAGAAGGGUUAUGUCAAGAGGCUGAAUUAUUUUUCUUUUUAUGCAGGUGGUGAGAAAUUUCUUGUAAGACCUGUGGAGCUGCAAAGUAGGGGGUGGGGGGUGCACAGUGGAGUAAGUCCUGUGAAUUCCAAAGAAUGGAGAGGAACAGUAAUGGAGUAUGGUGGCCGUGAAGACAGACAUGCAGGAGGCUGCCCUGAGCUCCUGGAUUUCUUAUUCUGGUGCUGAUUACUGGUCACCCCAGCAGUCUGCCCGCAGUAAACCAAGCCUCAAGUUCACUUGAUAUUGUCCCCUUCUCCCUUGCUGUGCACUGAGAUGGGUUUGUAAUUCCCUCAAAAUUAGCCACUGAAGCCCGUUUCUGUGUCCCUUUGAGCCAUCUUGGAAUUUCCAUCUUUCUUCCCCCUAAUGAAAUGAAA